AAUCGGUAAGGAUAGACGUGAGGAAAGGUUGUGCGUUUCGUCUCAGAAGUCGUUGCCUAGACUCAUCCAGUGGGACUGAUGGCAGCAACCCCUUACCCUAGACGCUUG